UACGGAGGGGGCUAGCGUUGUUCGGAAUUACUGGGCGUAAAGCGCGCGUAGGCGGACCUGCAAGUCGGGGGUGAAAGCCCGAGGCUCAACCUCGGAACUGCCUUCGAUACUGCGGGUCUCGAGUCCGGGAGAGGUGAGUGGAAUUCCUAGUGUAGAGGUGAAAUCGUAGAUAUUAGGAAGAACACCAGUGGCGAAGGCGGCUCACUAGCCCGGUACUGACGCGCUGAGGCGCGAAAGCGUGGGGAGCAAAACAGG
rnacentral:rRNA from 1 species